rnacentral:rRNA from 1 species
CCUACGGGUGGCAGCAGUGAGGAAUAUUGGUCAAUGGACGAGAGUCUGAACCAGCCAAGUAGCGUGAAGGAUGACUGCCCUAUGGUUUGUAAACUUCUUUUAUAAAGGAAUAAAAUGAGGCACGUGUGCCUUUUUGCAUGUACUUUAUGAAUAAGGAUCGGCUAACUCCGUGCCAGCAGCCGCGGUAAUACGGAGGAUCCGAGCGUUAUCCGGAUUUAUUGGGUUUAAAGGGGGCGUAGAGAGGUUGUUAAGUCAGUUGUGAAAGUUGACGGCUCAAACGUAAAAUUGCAAUUGAUACUGGCAGUCUUGAGUACAGUUGAGGUAGGCGGAAUUCGUGGUGUAGCGGUGAAAUGCAUAGAUAUCACGAAGAACCCCGAUUGCGAAGGCAGCUUACUAACCUGUGACUGACGUUGAUGCACGAAAGGGUGGGUAUCGAACAGGAGUAGAUACCCGAGUAGUC